rnacentral:rRNA from 1 species
UACGUAGGGUGCAAGCGUUAAUCGGAAUUACUGGGCGUAAAGCGUGCGCAGGCGGUUUUGUAAGUCUGUCGUGAAAUCCCCGGGCUCAACCUGGGAAUUGCGAUGGAGACUGCAAGGCUAGAAUCUGGCAGAGGGGGGUAGAAUUCCACGUGUGAGCAGUGAAAUGCGUAGAGAUGUGGAGGAACACCGAUGGCGAAGGCAGCCCCCUGGGUCAAGAUUGACGCUCAUGCACGAAGCGUGGGGAGC